ACAAUGAGCACUGAUAAAAUAAAAAGGGGGGUUCAAAGCACGCUCAGGGCUGGGCGUGCAAUGUACAGAUUCUUUCACCUGCCACACGGAAGAACGUGCAUCGGGUUUUCCUAUUUUCCAGGUCACUAGUAACAAAUUCUCCUUCAGCCCUUGCUACCUUCAGCCCGUUGAUCUAAUUUUCUCCUAACAACAGAAAGGCUCCUUCACUGUGAGAUAGAAAACAGCACAACCUUCCUGCACGCUGGAUGUCUCACAGUGCCGAUCUCUCAGAAGUCCUGGGACGUGACGAUGCCAUGUUGUGCUCUCCUUAACGCAUUGUUGAAUCAAAUGUGCUACAGUUAUGAAGUCAUUUGACUUUCUUGAGCUAUACGCUUUAGAAGUGACGACGACUCUGACGGGCUCCGGCUUUUGGGCAGUUGAAAUCUCACAAGUUAAGCGUCUGCGUGAUUUUGCUCCACGGUAGGAGUUACGGAAGUAAAAACUGUGUGUCCACCACGAACCAGGCCCCGGGAUCAUAAUUUUCCAUGGAUUUUGUCAUCGACUCUUCACCUCAGCUCAAGGAGGAGGAUGCUAUUAUCGUAUCAGUUUGCACUUGGGGCUAUUGGCGAGAGUUGUCUUAACUCUUCCUAUCCCUUGUGUUAUGAGUUGAAUUACUCACUUCCUGCCCCUGCAAAUGCUGUGUUGAAAUCCUAACCCUCAGUACCUCAGAAAGUGACCUCAUUUGGAAAGAGAGUCUUUAUAGAUGUAACACACUAAGAGGAGGUCAUUAGGGUCGGCCUUGACCAAUAUGACUGGUGUCCUGACAGGAAGGGGACAUUCAGACACAGAUGCACACAGGGAUGACCACGAAGGAACACAGGGGAAAGCCACGCUAAGACAGAGGAUUGAACUGUUGCAUGUACAAAGGAAGGAAUGCACAAAAGUAUGGCAGCCACCCACCAGAAACAAGAAAGAGGGUAAUGAGGUUGGCGUCUCCGUGUGGCCCGUGGUUUACUCAGCACGACCAGGGAAGAAAGGCCCCUCUGGGCUUCAACACCUUUCAGGGGGAAAUUCAUGCUGUUCCUCUGGGCUAAGG